AGCGGCGGACGGGUGAGUAACACGUGGAUAACCUACCUAUAAGACUGGGAUAACUUCGGGAAACCGGAGCUAAUACCGGAUAAUAUAUUGAACCGCAUGGUUCAAUAGUGAAAGACGGUUUUGCUGUCACUUAUAGAUGGAUCCGCGCCGCAUUAGCUAGUUGGUAAGGUAACGGCUUACCAAGGCAACGAUGCGUUGCCGACCCGAGAGGGUGAUCGGCCACACUGGAACUGAGACACGGUCCAGACUCCUACGGGAGGCAGCAGUAGGGAAUCUUCCGCAAUGGGCGAAAGCCUGACGGAGCAACGCCGCGUGAGUGAUGAAGGUCUUCGGAUCGUAAAACUCUGUUAUUAGGGAAGAACAAAUGUGUAAGUAACUAUGCACGUCUUGACGGUACCUAAUCAGAAAGCCACGGCUAACUACGUGCCAGCAGCCGCGGUAAUACGUAGGUGGCAAGCGUUAUCCGGAAUUAUUGGGCGUAAAGCGCGCGUAGGCGGUUUUUUAAGUCUGAUGUGAAAGCCCACGGCUCAACCGUGGAGGGUCAUUGGAAACUGGAAAACUUGAGUGCAGAAGAGGAAAGUGGAAUUCCAUGUGUAGCGGUGAAAUGCGCAGAGAUAUGGAGGAACACCAGUGGCGAAGGCGACUUUCUGGUCUGUAACUGACGCUGAUGUGCGAAAGCGUGGGGAUCAAACAGGGUUAGGUACCCUGGUAGUCCACGCCGUAAACGAUGAGUGCUAAGUGUUAGGGGGUUUCCGCCCCUUAGUGCUGUAGCUAACGCAUUAAGCACUCCGCCUGGGGAGUACGACCGCAAGGUU
rnacentral:rRNA from 1 species